rnacentral:lncRNA from 1 species
UGCCUGUGUGUCUGAUCCCUGGGCCAGUCAGACAGGAGGUACAGCUUCGUGGUCAAUUGGUGCUCCUACCAAGCUCUUGACACUGAAGAAGCAGUGGAGAAACCACCUCUAACAUGGCACAGAUGAGGAAGGGACCCAAGCCCAUUAUUAACAUGUUCAACUCAAACUCCAAUAUGUGGUUAAAACAGGUAGUGUGGACUUGUAACAUCUUGUAAAUCUCCUCAAGAUUCUUGUCCUGAAUAAUAUGGACAGAGCAGUCACUUUGAAAGAAAGAGCUAUAAACACUAGGAGCUGUUAACUCUCAAGACCUCCAGAGACCAGGAGCUGAGGAAGAACAGCCACAGAGACCAGCACCAGCAGAGCUGACUGAAAACAUCCAGUGUUAACUGGUGUCUACUAGGGGCAUCAGGGCUGCUAGCAGAGCCACACUUUGCCAGUUCAUGACUUUUAUCUGAAUGGAGUAAAAGAACCCUUGGUUGAUUAAUGACAUUUUCUCUGUACAGCACAUCACAGCCUUGUACAUAGAUAGUUAGAUAACACUUCAACACUACGCUUGGAGUCCAUUCCAGUGAAAUCAUCCUCAAAAAGCAUCAAAAGGCAAACAAACAAAAAAAUCAAAAGUACGGUCCUAAGUAGACUGUGAAAAAGAGAAGUUUACAACAGGAGAGCUGAAACCAGGAGGGAGUCAUCCUGCCUGACCUCAGCUGGGGCCAAGUGCACCUGAUGACUCAAAUGUCCCCCUCCUCUUGUAUGUCUGUAAAUGACCACAAAGCUCAGCAAGUAUCGAUUUGGGUUUAUAAAUUUUAGCGAGUAGGAGGAAUGACUGUAUAGGCAACACGAUGAUUUUUCCUGAAAGCACAUAUAACAAGUUUUUCCCUUGGGCUCUGUUCCUAGGGUAACCUCUAUCCUGUUUCUAACCCCAUGAAUUAGUCUAUUUUUCACAUUAUAUCAAUAGAAGUGUGAGUUUUACACUGUUGUAUGUCUGGCUUCUUUGGUUCAAUAUUAUGUUAUUCACUAUAUUGUUGCAGGUGUAAAAGUAUUGAUCAUUUAAAGCCUGUCAGUCUGUGC